UUAGAUUUUAUUUAUUAAUUUUAUUUAUUUUUUAUUAAAGUAUUAAAAAUAAUUAUAAAUGAAAAAGUUUGAGUAUUGUUUAAAGAAAAAAUAAAUAUUAAUUAUAGUUUAAUAGUAUUGUAAAAGAAAAUUGAAAUAUUUUGAAAAAAUUUUAUUGUAAAAGAAAAUUUAAUUUAUUGUACCUU
rnacentral:rRNA from 1 species